rnacentral:misc_RNA from 1 species
GCAAACUGCUUGCCGAUUCGUUCUGGCGAGCGUAGGAUUGAAAAGCCCGAGAGGCUGCCCUGACAAAACAUUCAUUUUACAUUUAUUUUGUUGGAAAAGAGCUU